CCUACGGGCGGCAGCAGUGAGGAAUAUUGGUCAAUGGCCGAGAGGCUGAACCAGCCAAGUCGCGUGAGGGAAGAAUGUCCUAUGGAUUGUAAACCUCUUUUGUCAGGGAGCAAAGUCACCCACGUGUGGGUGUUGGAGAGUACCUGAAGAAAAAGCAUCGGCUAACUCCGUGCCAGCAGCCGCGGUAAUACGGAGGAUGCGAGCGUUAUCCGGAUUUAUUGGGUUUAAAGGGUGCGUAGGCGGGAUAUCAAGUCAGCGGUAAAAGCGUGGAGCUCAACUCCAUGCAGUAGUUGAAACUGAGUAUCUUGAGUGGGAGAGAAGUAUGCGGAAUGCGUGGUGGAGCGGUGAAAUGCAUAGAUAUCACGCAGAACUCCGAUUGCGAAGGCAGCCUACCGGCGCCCGACUGACGCUGAAGCACGAAAGCGUGGGUAUCGAACAGGAUUAGAUACCCCAGUAGUC
rnacentral:rRNA from 1 species